rnacentral:rRNA from 1 species
ACGCACGCUGGCGGCGUGCUUCACCCAUGCCAGUCGCACGGAAAGGCCCUGCUUUUGUGGGGUGCUCGAGUGGCGAACGGGUGAGUAAUACGUGAGUAACCUGCCCUUGACUUUGGGAUAACUUCAGGAAACUGGGGCUAAUACCGGAUAGGAGCUCCUGCUGCAUGGUGGGGGUUGGAAAGUUUCGGCGGUUGGGGAUGGACUCGCGGCUUAUCAGCUUGUUGGUGGGGUAGUGGCUUACCAGGGCUUUGACGGGUAGCCGGCCUGAGAGGGUGACCGGCCACAUUGGGACUGAGAUACGGCCCAGACUCCUACGGGAGGCAGCAGUGGGGAAUAUUGCACAAUGGGCGGAAGCCUGAUGCAGCAACGCCGCGUGCGGGAUGACGGCCUUCGGGUUGUAAACCGCUUUCGCCUGUGACGAAGCGUGAGUGACGGUAAUGGGUAAAGAAGCACCGGCUAACUACGUG